GGGGAUCUUCUGGACCCAGGGAUCAGCCCCAAGUCUCUUACUGUCUCCUGGAUUGGCAGGUGCGAGGGGUUUUUUCGUCUCCUUCGUGGCCGCAGAGCUCCUCUGGAGAGGGGAUUCGUGGUCAUCUGUCCAUCCUCCCAGAAUGCCACCAGAGGAGGGACCAGCUGCCCGGUGUCCACGUAGUUCUCCAACUGAAUCACACCAAAACAUUUUUAAAGCAUCCU